GGUCCAUCAUCAAAUGUGAGAUUUACAAGGAGGGAAAACAGUACACCUCUCUGAACAGUGUCUGGGAGGCUGUGGUUGCUGCUGCACGCAAUGUUGAUGGUGAACAGAUCAAAACACUGACAGAAUCCAUGGAUGGCAGGCUUUUGAGUGUCCUUGCAAAGAAAGGUGGCUAUAUUGGUCACUGAUUUUUUUUGUUUUGUUUUUGAAUGUCAGAAAUGUAUAUUUGUGAAUGUUGAGAUGUUAUAUUGGUUUCACUGGUAAUAAUAAAUAAUUGAAAUGGGUAUAUAUUUGUUUUUUGUUAAGUUGCCUAAUAAUUAUGCACAGUAAUAG